GGCUUCUUAGCUCAGUUGGUAGAGAGCACGACUGAAAAUCGUGAGGUCCCCAGUUCGAUCCUGGGAGUAGCCA
rnacentral:tRNA from 1 species